rnacentral:lncRNA from 1 species
AGACAAUAGGUAAAACAGUAAAAUAUAUUGUAUAUAUGAUUUAAAAAAAACAUGGAAGGGAGAUAGGAAGUGCCAGGAAGGACAUGGGUUGCCAUUUUAGAUAGGAUGGCUAGGAAGGUGUGCUAGUUUCCUAUUGCUGCCAUAACUAAAUUAUCUCAAACUCAGUUGGCUUAAAAUAACACAAAUUUAUUAUCUUACAGUUUUGGAGGUCAGCAGUCAGAAAAGGGACUUAUUGGGUUAAAAUCAGUGUCCAUAAACCUGGGUUUCUUCCUCAGGUUCUAGGGGAGAAUUUGUGUCCUGACAUUUCCUAGCUUUUAGAGGCUUCUUGCAUUCCUUGGAUUUCAUGACAUUUCUUCAUGAAGGAAGAAGGGAGCAAGAAAUCUGUGGGAAGAACAAUCCAAGCAGACAGAGUAGGUGGUGCAAAGGCCUUGAGGCAGGACCAUGCCUAGCCUGUUUCAGAACAGAAAAGAGGACAAAGCAAAGUUAGCAAAUAGUAGAUAAGAAAAAGGUAAUGGAGUGGUGGUGAGGGCCACAUUACGUAGGGCCUUGUAACAACUGUGACCUUUACUCUGAGGGAGAUGAGAGUCCUUGUAGAGUUUACUUAGUGCAGUGACAUUAUCUGAUAUAUGUUUUAAUGGAAUCACUCUGCCUGCUAUGUGAAAAAUAGCUGAAAGUUAAUCAAACUUGAAAGUGGGAGACCAGUG